GUAUUUACCUGACAGGGGAGAUACCAUGAUCAUGAAGGUGGUUUUCCCAGAGCAGGGUUUAUCCACUGCACUGCAGAUGUGCUGACCCCUGUGAUUUCUCCAAAUGUGGGAAACUCGACUGUGUAAUUUGUGGUAGUGGGGGACUACAAUCAUGCUUUCCCCUG
ensembl:snRNA U1 U1 spliceosomal RNA